rnacentral:rRNA from 1 species
GAUCAUGGCUCAGGAUGAACGCUGGCGGCGUGCUUAACACAUGCAAGUCGAGCGAAGCACUCUGCUUUGAUUCUUUCGGGAUGAAGAGCAUUGUGACUGAGCGGCGGACGGGUGAGUAACGCGUGGGUAACCUGCCUCAUACAGGGGGAUAACAGUUAGAAAUGGCUGCUAAUACCGCAUAAGACCACAGCACCGCAUGGUGCAUGGGUAAAAACUCCGGUGGUA